rnacentral:rRNA from 1 species
GACGAACGCUGGCGGCGUGCUUAACACAUGCAAGUCGAACGGUAAGGCCCUUUCUGGGUUACACGAGUGGCGAACGGGUGAGUAACACGUGGGUGAUCUGCCCUGCACUUUGGGAUAAGCCUGUGCAACUGGGUCUAAUACCUGAUAGGACUACGCGAUGCAUGUCGUGUGGUGGAAAGCUUUUGCGGUGUGGGAUGGGCCCGCGGCCUAUCAGCUUGUUGGUGGGGUGAUGGCCUACCAAGGCGACGACGGGUAGCCGGCCUGAGAGGGUGUCCGGCCACACUGGGACUGAGAUACGGCCCAGACUCCUACGGGAGGCAGCAGUGGGGAAUAUUGCACAAUGGGCGCAAGCCUGAUGCAGCGACGCCGCGUGGGGGAUGACGGCCUUCGGGUUGUAAACCCCUUUCAGCACAGACGAAGCGUAAGUGACGGUAUGUGCAGAAGAAGCACCGGCCAACUACGUG